rnacentral:rRNA from 1 species
AGCGAACGCUGGCGGCAGGCUUAACACAUGCAAGUCGAGCGGGCGUAGCAAUACGUCAGCGGCAGACGGGUGAGUAACGCGUGGGAACGUACCUUUGGUUCGGAACAACACAGGGAAACCUGUGCUAAUACCGGAUAAGCCCUUACGGGGAAAGAUUUAUCGCCGAAAGAUCGGCCCGCGUCUGAUUAGCUAGUUGGUGUGGUAACGGCGCACCAAGGCGACGAUCAGUAGCGGUCUGAGAGGAUGAUCAGCCACAUUGGGACUGAGACACGGCCCAAACUCCUACGGGAGGCAGCAGUGGGGAAUUGUUCGCAAUGGGCGCAAGCCUGACGACGCAACGCCGCGUGGAGGACGAAGACCUUCGGUCGUAAAC